ACUCCGGUGGCCUAGUGGUUAGCGCGACCGCCUCGGCUGCGGGAGGUCAUGGGUUCUAUUCCCGGUCGAAUCU